rnacentral:snRNA from 1 species
UUGUUUGUUUCAGUAGCACAUAUGCUAAAAUUGGAACAACACACAGAAGAUUAACAUGGCCUCUAUGCAAGAAUGACAAGCAAAUAAACAUUUUACACAUCUGG